UAACGGCGAGUGAAGCGGCAAAAGCUCAAAUUUGAAAUCUAGUCCAUUAUAUGGGCUCGAAUUGUAAUUUGCAGAGGAAACUUUGGUGCGAUCAUGGUCUAAGUUCCUUGGAACAGGACAUCACAGAGGGUGAGAAUCCCGUAUGUGGCUAUUGAUUCAAUCCAUGUAAAGUUCCUUCAACGAGUCGAGUUGUUUGGGAAUGCAGCUCUAAAUGGGAGGUAAAUUUCUUCUAAAGCUAAAUAUUGGCCAGAGACCGAUAGCGAACAAGUAGAGUGAUCGAAAGAUGAAAAGCACUUUGGAAAGAGAGUUAAACAGUAUGUGAAAUUGUUGAAAGGGAAGCGCUUGCAAUCAGACUUGUUUAUAGUUGUUUGACUUGGCUAUUUGUCUUGUUUACUCUUCUAUUAGCAGGCUAGCAUCAGUUUCAGUGGUGGGAAAAAGACUUGAUGAAUGUAGCCCCUUAUCUUCGGAUUUGGGGUGUUAUAGCUCAAGUGUCAUGCCAUCAAUUGGGACUGAGGACCGCGUCUUUGACAUGGAUGCUGGCGUAAUGGUUGUAAGCGGCCCGUCUUGAAACACGGACCAAGGAGUCUAACAUUUGUGCGAGUG
rnacentral:rRNA from 1 species